rnacentral:lncRNA from 1 species
ACUUUUCACUCAUGAGAUUGGCAGAAACCUAAAAAGACGAUGAUAUUGUUAGAGACAGUGUAGUGCUGUGGUUCACAUCCCUCCUGCUCUGGACUUACCAGCUGUGGGAACGUGGACAAAGUGUGUAAUCCUCUGUGCCUCAGUUUCCUCACCUAAAAAAUGAGUGUCAAACCCAGUACUACCCCACAGAGUCAUUGUGAGGGAUCAGUGUUUAGAACAGUGCCCCAUGCAGAGCACACAUAAGUGUCUGCCGUGACUAUUACUAUUUAGCUGACGUACCUGAGGUGGGUGCGCAGGUGUAGAGGAAAGACGUUCACGCCUGGCCAGGAGUGUGAAACGUAGACAGCCAUUUCAGAGGGCUCUUGAUGUUUCAAAACUUUCAAACUACAUACAAGACUCCCCCCAAGGUGCCCCCUCUAACCCUGAAAUUCCACCUCUAGGACCCUGAAUCCCUUGGGGUCAAACAUGUUUCAGAUUUUCGGAAGGUAACUUGGCGCAUAUGCCCCAUCCUGUGUUACUCUUCCCCGGGGUCUGGGGCUGCCCCAUGCUGUAGACCCUCUGGGGUGUUCAGCCCACCUCAAGUGCAACUGGGGAAUUCUGGGGAGUGAAGGCCCUUCGGGUAACCCUCAGCUGGUAGAGCCCAGGGGCAGGUGGGUAAGCGCCCAGCAGCCUCUAGUCCUUCAGAGAAGCACCCCACAUUGCUCAGGAGGUCCUAGAGAAGUUGACCGCCCCCUCCUGCAGUGCCCUCUGCAGUGACCUCCGUAACGACCCUUGUAUUAUCUUCUCCCAACCCCCGUCUCACUCUCCCCGGUUGCUCCCUCCUGGAUUCUGGUGUCACCUUCCAAAAAAACACCUGCACUCAAGUCCUGUCUCAGGCUUUGCUUUUGGGGAACUCAGCCCAAGACAACCCCCUGAUGAAACACAUUAUUUCUUCAGCAAGCUGCACACAUAUCACAGCAAGUGGGAGAAACAAAAGACGCUGAACACUCUCACGUCAAUUUGGGUCAGGUUUGCUGGCAAAUAGGUAGAAGAAAAGACGUAUGGUUCUGGGAGCAUUUGGGUUUCAUGGCUGUGGAUAUGGGACUGGACUGCACUCUGCGGAGCACAAAGGCAACCUCUCUUGCUGAGUUCACUCGGUGUGAGUGGAGAGGCUCCCCCGGCCACGGACUGCACUCAGAAGGCCUGAGACCACAGCAGUCACCAGGAGUUGGGCCCUCCAGGAGCUGAUACUUGAGUGUAGAAGAUGUCUGCUGGGGCUCCUGGCAACACUUGGGAAGGGAGCCCUUUGGGUGGGGAGACAAGGCCACAAUCGAUGGGUGCUCAGGGAUGGCCCCGCUGCAGAGGUGAGGUCUGAGAAGGGACUUGACAAUGAGAGGAAGCCUAGGACGCCAGCACCACCUCCACCUCGCCACCACGGCAGGUGCUCCUGAUGGGUCUCAGGGCGAGCGCACCCUCUGCCAGUGACAGGUCAGGUGUGGGCUGUGACCAGUCUCAGCCAAUGAGACAUCAGGGAGGGCCCGCAGGUGGCCUCGGGCCCGGCCAGCCUGGAUGCUGAGGCCGACCUAUGAGGCUGACUCGAGGUGGGGAAGAGCAGAACAGGCAAACGGCCAGUGCUCACCCUGCUCCCUGCCAGGCAGCACUGUGGAUGGGCUUGUGGCCCACGUGAGACUGAGCAGGGAUUUCUGUCACUUGCGGCAGAAAACCUCCCACUGGCUAGCAAGCACCUGGUCCAUCCCAAGGGACAGACUGACAGGCUAUGGCUUGUCCCCAUCAUGGAACACAGCAGAGCGCCGAAAAGAAAGAGGGGGUAUCCUCCCGUCCUGAAAAGGAACCAGCGACGAGAGAUGUCAUCUGUUCUCAACCAGGGGUAAUUUUGCUCCCUAGGUAGGUUGCCAGGUUAAGGAAAUAAAAAUGCAGGGCAGCCAGUUCAAGCUGAAUUUCAGACCGUGCAUGUUAACUAGAUGUCCUGUAUUUACUGUGGCAACCUUACCCCCAGGGGACAUUUGGCAAUGUCUGGAGGCAGUUUUGGUUGUCACUGGGGAUGGUUAGGUGCUACCAGCAUCUGGUGGGAAGGCACCGGGGGUGCUUUUAAACAUUUCACAAUGCAUAGGACAGCUGAGGCCAAAAAAAAAAAAAAAAAUUAUCCAGCCUAAAAUGUCAGUUGUAACAAGGGUGAGAACCCCUGUAUUAAAUGAAAGAUAGCAAAAACCCCAUAAGAACCCCAUAAGAUAUGGUAGGAUCUCAUUUGUACGUCCUGUAUUUACUCUGGCAACCCUACCCCCAGGGGACAUUUGGCAAUGUCUGGGGUUGUUACUGCGGAUGGGGUUGUGUGUGUGUGUGUUUCUUUUUUUCUUUUUACACACCCAACUAAGCCAUAGAAUCGCAUAGAAAAAGGUAUGGAAGGUCACAUACCUAAGUCAUGUGGGGUAGGGAGUGGUCAUUCCUUUUACUCUAAAUACCUUCUGCAGUGUUUUAUUAUUUGUGAAGUUAAUUAUAACUGAAGUGAAUAUAUACGUGUAUACACACACACACAGAAAGCAUGCCUAUCAAAACAAUAGAUAUUUCACAAAGUGAACACACCCAUGGCAUGGCCUCCUGAUGAAGAUGAAGAACAUGGCCACUGCUCCAUGAGGCCCUUUGCAGUCCUGCCAGCCUCUCCCUCGAGGGCUGCGAGGGGAACUGCUGUCCUGACUUCCAACCUGCUUUGGGCUCCACAUGAACCGAAUUCUGCCCGACGUCCUCGCUUGAGACUGGCGUCUUUCCCUCAGCAACGUGUCAUGAUUCAUUCAUGUGGAUCGGAGCAGCGGUUGGAUCAUUUUCAUUGCUGUGAAAUACACCACAAUGGAUUUAUGCAUUCAACCGUUGAUGGACAUUUGGGUCGUUUCCCGUUUGGCAAGAUGAUGAAGAAAGCUGGUAUGAGCAUUCUUUCACACGUCUUUUCUUGGGCAUAUGUACUCACUCCUGUUGAGUGUAAACCUAGGAAUGAAUCGCUCAGUCAUAGGGCAAAUGUGUGUUCCUCUUUCCUAGAUACCAUUCGAGUUCCCAAAGUGCUUGCACGGGUUUACGCUGCCAUCCACCAGAGAUGAAAGUUCCGCCUGGGCUGCUGCCUCCUGGCCAAGCCUGGCUGGGUUGUAGCUUUUGCGCUUUAGUCCCUCUGGUGGGUGUGUAAAUUGCUAAUCACUGUGAUUUUAAUUCGCAUUUCCCUGAUGAUGAAGCUGAGCACUUUUUCAUAACUUUAUGGGCCAUUUGAUUGUCCUCUUUUGUGAAAUGCCUAUUCGGGCCAUUGGUCCAUUUUUCCAUGAGGUUAUCUCCGUUUCUCUCAUUGAUUUGUAAUUAAGAGUCCUGUUGCAAAUCUCUUUUCCCGCUGUGCGGCUUCUUGCCUUUUCCUUCGCUUACAACGCUCCAUGCUGUCCUGGACCCUAGCAUCACCCAGGCCUAGGUAAUAGAAGGGUGGCUUUUGUAAAGCGACUCAAGGCUGAGAAGGGAACAGACACUCUUAGCACAAUAAGCUACAGGCUGAAAAACAGCCGGAGGUGAAUCUUUGCAGCGUGAAUGGUCUGGCUGUCUUUUAUAAAAGUAACUCGAUUGGACUAGACCCCAUGAGGGACUCUGCUCCUCCGCUCCCCUUUCCCUGAGGACCUAAUUCCCCACUGGGUCAGCCGCAGAACCAGAUAGAGCUGGGGACUCACGACCCGUGCUGACGACUGGAUGCAAGAGGAGGAAGGACUUUGGUGGAGAGAAGGAAUCAAAAGGAACCAAGAAUGUGAGACAAGAGGACUUGCUGGUGGGGUCCCCUGCUGUGUCCCCAGAGUCCCAGCAUGUGCCUGACACACAGCAGGUGCCUGAUUGAUAGUGACGGUUCCCCAAAGGCUGCUGGAGUCACCUCUGGGAUUCUGCACAGGCUCCACCCUCUGGGGAGGUGUGCUUGGUAGAGGACACGAAGGCUGCUUGUUGGGGUUACCUUAGUACCUGGGUGAAGAGUAAAAAGUAAUUAAUAAUAACG